AGGACGAACGCUGGCGGCGUGCCUAACACAUGCAAGUCGAACGAGGUCCAUGCAGUGGCAACACUGCGGAAGGCCUAGUGGCGAACGGGUGAGUAACACGUGAGGAACUUGCCCCGGAGACCGGGAUAACUCUCCGAAAGGAGAGCUAAUACCGGAUGUCCUCAUCGAGUCGCAUGGCUUGAUGAGGAAAUGGAUUCCGCUCCGGGAGAGCCUCGCGGCCUAUCAGCUAGUUGGUGGGGUAACGGCCCACCAAGGCAUCGACGGGUAGCUGGUCUGAGAGGACGAUCAGCCACACUGGGACUGAGACACGGCCCAGACUCCGUA
rnacentral:rRNA from 1 species